CUCCGGGUGGCGGCGGCUGAGCCGGGAGCAAGCGCGCUGGGCGCGGCCGUCCCGUGCCGCCCGGCCAAGCCCGAGAGUCCCGCGGUCAUGGUCUGUGCGGUGGCGCGGGGCGCCUGAGCCCGGGACUCGAGCUCCGGAGGCGGCCGGCGUGGGCGCUCCCCAGAGGCCGACGGAAGGUGAGCGCUGUGGGCUAUGGGAUGGAUGAGGUGGAGGAGGACCAGCAUGAAGCCCGACUCAAGGAGCUGUUUGACAGUUUUGACACCCUGGGAACUGGGUCUCUGGGUCAAGAGGAGCUCACUGACCUCUGCCACGUGCUGUGCUUGGAGGAUGUGGGCCCGGUGCUGCAACAGACGCUACUCCAGGACAACCUCUUGGGCAGGGUACAUUUUGACCAAUUUAAAGAAGCAUUAAUACUUAUCUUGUCUAGAACUCUAUCCAGUGAGGAGCACUUUGAGGAGUCAGACUGUUCCCCAGAAGCUCAGCCCAAAUAUGUUAGAGGUGGGAAGCGUUAUGGACGAAGAUCACUGCCCGAGUUUCAAGAGUCUGGGGAAGAGAUCGAGGAGGUGACAGUGCUUGAGCCACUAGAGGAAGAAGCGAGGUCAUCACCCAUCCCAGCUGGGGACUGCGGCGAGCACUGGAAGACACAACGCAGUGAGGAGUAUGAAGCAGAAGGCCAGCUGAGGUUUUGGAACCCAGAUGACCUGAAUGCUUCACAUGGUGGGUCUUGCCCUCCUCCAGACUGGAUAGAAGAGAAACUGCAAGAGGUUUGUGAAGAUCUGGGGAUCACUCGAGAUGGUCACCUGAACCGGAAGAAGCUGGUUUCCAUCUGCGAACAGUAUGGAUUACAGAAUGUGGAUGGAGCGAUGCUGGAAGAGGUGUUUCUCAGCCUUGAUCCUGAUGGAACAAUGAGUGUGGAAGACUUUUUCUAUGGUCUGUUUAAGACUGGGAAAUCCCUCACGCCAUCAGCAUCUACUCCCUAUAGACAACUGAAACGGCAUCUCUCUAUGCAGUCUUUCGAUGAGAGUGGACGGCGGACCGCAACCUCGUCAGCAAUGACGAGUACCAUUGGCUUCCGGGUCUUCUCCUGCUUGGAUGACGGGAUGGGCCAGGCGUCUGUGGAGAGGAUACUGGACACCUGGCAGGAAGAAGGCAUUGAGAACAGUCAGGAGAUUCUGAAGGCCCUGGAUUUCAGCCUGGAUGGAAACAUCAACCUGACAGAGCUGACGCUGGCUCUGGAGAAUGAACUUUUGGUUACCAAGAAUGGCAUUCACCAGGCAGCACUAGCUAGCUUCAAGGCCGAGAUCCGGCACUUGUUAGAACGAGUUGACCAAGUAGUCAGAGAAAAGGAGAAGCUACGGUCGGACCUGGACAAAGCAGAAAAGCUGAAGUCUCUCAUGGCUUCCGAGGUGGACGAUCACCACGCGGCCAUUGAGCGGAGGAAUGAAUACAACCUCAGGAAACUGGAUGAAGAAUACAAGGAGCGCAUAGCAGCCUUAAAGAACGAACUCCGCCAGGAGAGGGAACAGAUGUUGCAGCAAGUGGGCAAGCAGCGGGUGGAGCUGGAACAGGAAAUUCAAAAGGCCAAGACGGAAGAGAAUUACAUCCGGGACCGCCUUGCCCUCUCCCUGAAGGAAAACAAUCGCCUGGAGACUGAGCUUCUGGAAAACGCAGAGAAGUUGGCAGAGUACGAGAGCCUGACGCAGAAGCUCCAGCGCAGUUUGGAAAAUGUGUUAGCAGAAAAGUUUGGUGACCUCGAUCCCAGCAGUGCUGAGUUCUUUCUUCAAGAGGAGAGGCUGGCGCAGAUGAGAAAUGAAUAUGAGCAACAGUGCAGGCUAUUACAAGACCAAGUGGAUGAGCUUCAGUCUGAACUAGAAGAAUACCAGGCUCAAGGCAGGGUGCUCAGACUCCCCUUGAAGAACUCGCUGUCAGAAGAACUCGACGGUCACAGUGGUGGUAUUGAGCCCGACCAAGGGCCUGGAUCUGAAGAGUGCAACCCCCUGAAUAUGAGCAUUGAGGCAGAGCUGGUCAUCGAGCAGAUGAAGGAGCAGCACCACCGGGACCUGUGUCACCUGAGACUGGAGCUGGAAGACAAAGUGCGCCACUAUGAAAAGCAGCUGGAUGAUACCAGGGUCGCCUCUGAACAGGAGCAGGCAGCCAUGAAGCAGAAGUAUGAGCAGGGAGUGCACACCUUGGAGAAGCGAGUCAGCGAGCUUCGGAGUGAGAUUGCAGACCUGGAAGGGCAGGCAGCCGUGCUGAGGGAGGCCCACCACAAGGCCAGCUGCAGGCACGAGGAGGAAAAGAGACAACUGCAAAUGGCGUUCGAUGAGGAAAAGGCUCAGCUCCAGGAGGAGCUGCGGCAGGAGCAUGAGAGGGAGCUCCAGGCCAGGCUGCAGCAGGCAGCGGAGAGCUUUCGCCAGGAGAGAGAGGGACUCGCCCAGGCUGCCUGGACUGAGGAGAAGGUGAGAGGCUUGGAGCAAUCUUACCAGGAGCAGCUGCUGAGCCUGGAGGAGAAGCAUGCUCUAGAGAAAGAAGAGCUGAGGGAAGAGCUCUCGGAACAUCACCGAAGGGAACUCCAGGAGGGAAGGGAAGAAAUGGAAACAGAGUGUAAUAGAAGAGUCUCUCAGAUAGAAGCCCAGUGCCAGGCUGACUGUGAGAAAGUCACUGAGCACUGUGAACAAACUCUGCAAAGCCUCGAGGUUCGCCACCGCCAGGAGCUGAGGGACCUCUUGGACCAGCACCUGGAGGAAAGGUCUCAGUGGGAGUUUGAGAAGGAUGAGCUUACACAAGAGUGCACAGAUGCCCAGGAGCAGCUGAAGGAGGCGCUCCAGAGGGAGAGGGCGACCGCUGCGGCCAUGAAGCAGGAACAGGAGAUACUGGAGAGGACAUACAAGGACCGUUUGAAUAUCCUGAGCACGGAAAGAAAGCAGCUGCUGCAAGACCUGAAAGACCUACAGAACGCAUCUGAGAGCCAGCAUGGCCUCCUGUCUGGCCAGAUACUUGAGCUGAAGAGAAGUCAGGAGAGAGAACUGAGGGACCAAGGGCAGGCGCUAUGCCAGACGGGGGUCUCUGAGCAGCUGGCCAGCCAGCAGCUCGAAAGGCUCCGGGUUGAGCAUGAGCAAGAGAGGCGAGAAAUGACGGGCAAGCUUGCCGCCCUGGAGAGCGCCCACAGAGCAAGCCUUGAGAGAGCAGAUCAAGAGAAGGCGGAGAUGAGCACAGAAAUCUGCAGGCUUCAGAAUACAGUCAAGGACAUGCAGCAGGCAGCAUCUCUCUUGAUGCUUCAGGGUGGCUGCCAGGCAACGGCAGGGGAGGAGGCAGAAGGAGAUGGAGCCAUGUCCCUGCUUCAGCAAGGCGAGCAGCUAUUGGAAGAAAACGGAGAUGUCCUCAUCAGCCUGCAGAGAGCUCACGAGCAUGCAGUGAAGGAAAAUGCAAAGAUGGCUACUGAAAUUUCCCGAUUGCAGCAGAGGCUGAAGAAGUUAGAGCCGGGGUCGGUGAUCUCGUCUUGUUUGGAGGAGGGGACGUCUGAGAUUUCUGGAAGUUCCAGGGAACAAGUAGAACCCAUAAUGAAACAAGGUCCAGCCACCAAGCACUUCCUGAGCGAUCUAGGAGACCACGAGGCCCGGGACCUGGCAAGUACCGGGACAAGCUCCGUUCAGAGGCAGGAGUGCAAAACCGAGGCGUCGGAAGCUUCCCUGGACUGCUUUUCUGAGCUUGAAAACAGUGAAGACACCAGGACCGAGUCCUGGGACCUCAAGAGUCAGAUCAGCCAGCUUCGGGAGCAACUGACGGUCUUGCGAGCAGACUGCGAUCGGGCUUCCGAGAGGAAACAGGACCUGCUUUUCGAUAUCUCUGUGCUGAAAAAGAAACUGAAGAUGCUGGAGAGACUCCCGGAGGCAUCUUCCAGGUAUAAGGUAUUAUACGAGGAUGCCGCCCGAGAAAACUCCUGCCUUCAGGAGGAGCUGAGACUUGUAGAGACGCGCUACGAGGAGUCGCUGGACAGCAACAAAGAGCUUACGGCGGAGGUCUACAGGUUGCAGGAUGAGAUGAAGAAAAUGGAGGAGGUGAUGGAGACGUUCCUCAGCCUGGAGAAGAGUUACGAUGAGGUCAAAGUGGAAAAUGAGGAACUCCGUGCUCUGGUGUUGAGACUUCAAGGGAAGAUGGAGAAGGUGCUGGGAAGGGCCGCCCUGCAGGGUGACAGCUACGCCCUCUGGGAAGCCCCUUCAGAAAACCUGGAGGUCGCCUCGGAUGAAAAGAUGCUUGAACUCCGUCAGACUCCGAAAGAGUGUACGCCCAAGGUCGUGAGCAUGCACCACAUCAUAGAAGAGUGUACACAAGAAACCCAGUGCUGUGAGCAGGGAAGCACGAAGCUCCUAGCUAGAAUAAAAGCACACGAAAUCGCCUGGUUCCACAGAGCAAUUAAGACACAUCCGGAAAAGCCUAGCGCGCAGAACCGAGUCAUCCCGGAGGGAAGUGCUGCUCUCCUAGGCCUACAAGACAAGCAUCUUCAGCAGGAGGCCACCAUCGCAGAGUUAGAACUAGAGAAGCAAAAGCUACAGGAGCUGACUAGAAAUCUGAGGGAGCGAGUCACUGCACUAGUUAGGCAAAAAGACGCCCCUUCUCAAGGGCAGAAGGAGGAGGAGCUGAAGGCAAUGAUGCAGGACCUGCAGAUCACGUGCGGGGAGAUGCAGAGGAAGGUUGAACUCCUGAGAUAUGAAUCUGAAAAGCUUCAAGAGGAAAAUUCUAUUUUGAGAAAUGAAAUUACUACUUUAAAUGAAGAAGAUAGCAUCUCUAACCUGAAAUUGGAGGAAUUAAAUGGCUCUCAGGAAGAAUUGUGGCAGAAAAUAGAAACCAUAGAGCAGGAAAAAGCUUCAAUUCAGACAAUGGUUGAAAAAUUAAAGAAACAGGUUUCAGAUUUAAAAAUCAAAAACCAACAGUUGGAUUCAGAAAAUAUAGAACUCAGCCAAAAGAACUCCCAAAACAAGGAAGAACUGAAAACCCUUAAUCAACGUCUGGCAGAAAUGCUGUGCCAGAGGGAGGAGCCAGGAGCUUGCACCUCUGAGAAAUGGGAACAAGAAAAUGCAAGCCUCAAAGAAGAACUGGAUCACUACAAAGUGCAGACUUCCACUUUGGUGUCUUCUCUGGAGGCAGAACUUUCCGAAGUUAAACUGCAGACUCACGUCAUGGAGCAGGAAAACCUCCUUCUCAAAGAUGAACUGGAGAGACUGAAGCAACUGCACAGAUGUCCUGACCUCUCUGACUUCCAGCAAAAAAUGUCUAGCAUUCUAAGCUACAAUGAAAAACUGCUGAAGGAAAAAGAAGUUCUGAGUGAAGAGUUAAAGAGCUGUGCAGAUAAGCUGGCAGAGUCAAGCCUCUUAGAGCACAGAAUUGCUACAAUGAAGCAGGAGCAGACCGCCUGGGAAGAGCAGAGUGAGAGCCUGAAGUCACAGCUGGCAGUGUCGCAGGCAAAGGUUCAGAACUUAGAAGAUGUCCUGCAGAAUGUCAACCUUCAGAUGGCUGAGAUUGAAUCAGAUCUCCAAGUGACUCGACAGGAAAAGGAGGCGCUAAAGCAGGAAGUGAUGUCAUUACACAGACAGCUUCAGAAUGCCAUUGAUAAGGACUGGGUCUCGGAAACAGCUCCCCAUCUCUCAGGGCUCCGGGGCCAGCAGAGAAGGCUGUCCUGGGACAAACUGGACCAUCUGAUGAAUGAGGAACCACAGCUGCUUUGUCAAGAAAGCAAGAGACUCCAGACUGUGGUACAGAAUACCCAAGCAGAUCUCACCCACUCCCGGGAGAAGGUCCGUCAACUGGAAUCCAACCUCCUUCCCACCAAACACCAAAAACAACUCAACCAACCAUGUACUGUGAAGUCCACAGAACAAGAAAAACUGACCUUAAAGAGAGAGUGUGAACAGUCUCAGAAAGAACAAUCUCCUACCAGCAGGAAGGUGGGUCAGAUGGGUUCCCUUGAGCGAGGAUUAGAAACAAUCCAUUUGGAAAACGAAGGUCUGAAGAAGAAACAGGUGAGACUGGACGAGAAGCUAAUGGAGAGCUCAGUGGUUGGAAGCAGCCGAGCGGGGCGCAGUUCUGUGCCUGAGCUAGCGUGCGAAGAUGCAGCCCCUGAGGUCCACUGUGACGCGUAGCCCAUCCUCUCACUGGGAUCUGCAGUUGCUCCAGCAGCAAGCCUGUCCGAUGGUGCCCAGGGAGCAGUUUCUGCAGCUUCAACAGCAGCUGCUGCAGGCAGAAAAGAGAAGCCAGCACCUGCAGGAGGAGCUCGAAAACAGAACCUCCGAAACCAACACACCACAGGGAAACCAGGAACACCUUGUAAAUCUCAUGGAAGAACGAAUGAUAGAAGUUGAACAAAAACUAAAGCUGGUGAAGAGACUUCUUCAAGAAAAAGUAAACCAGCUCAAAGAACAACUCUGCAAGAACACAAAAACAGAUGCCGUGGUGAAGGAUUUGUAUGUCGAAAAUGCCCAGUUGUUGAAAGCUCUGGAGAUGACUGAACAGCGCCAGAAGACAGCAGAAAAGAGAAAUUUCCUCCUAGAAGAGAAGAUUGCCAGCCUCAGUACCAUCGUCAGGAACCUGGCACCAGCACCACUGACUUCUAUGCCUCCUCUGAGGUCAUAGCCAGCCCAAAGGAUGCACACCAAAGGGCGCACUUGCAUUUGUGCGCUUUCCUGACACUAUUGGAACGUCUUAAUAGGCUCUCCGAACCCUCUAACCAAAAAUUUUCAGCGGCUUGAAAUCAAGCCUACCCGAAGUCUGCCAGCAAUGGAAUUGGAGGCUCCAAAUGGGUGCUUAUUGGAAUUUCACAAAUCACUAUUUAAAUUUCACUAUUUAAAUUACUCAUAAGCACUGAACUUUUACAGUAUGUUCUGGAUAGCUACCAAGAAUGAAAUUAAGUUAAGGACCUUCAAGUCCUAGUUUUUAAUGUUUUAAAACUGCUAUUAUCGGUGUAUGCAAUCCAGGUUCUUUUUAAGUUUGAUAUCUAACUAAAGUGGUUAUUAUUAUAAUUGUUUUUGAAAACAUUUAAGUACUGAAAUCAUUCGGCUUACAAUACUUUAGUCUCUUUGAAUUAAUCGGCUGACUGCAGUUGUGUUCAGAGAAGGCUUGGCCAGUAGCUAGCCACCCAGUAGCUAGCCACCGAGAUCAGAGAAGUCCAAGUUCUAUAAAACUCUGACUUCUGAUGCCAUUCUUCCUACUCUUGCUGUACAACAGAUUCAGAACUUACUCAGCUGCACUCUUAACUAAGGAUAAAGCUUUACUUUCUUUAAACAGCCCUUUCUCCUCCUCCUAAAGCUUUUGUUUGGGACCCUGUCUUCUAAAAAAUUGUUAAAACUGUACUCGUAACAUUACUGAACUAUAGUGAGCCUACGGACAGACCGACCACUUUGGAGUAAAAAGCCACUCUUGGAAGAAGAUCACGUGGAGCGUGGUGGACGUAGUUUCGUCUCUCCCAAGCCUUGGAGUUCGUGACAUACCUUUGAGUUUGUAUCAAAAGCUCAGGGAAUGAUUUUUAAACUGUCUUCCUGAACUACUUGCUGCCUGGCCUAAGAACUGUGUACUGACAUCAUUCGGCUUACAAUACUUUAGUCUCUUUGAAUUAAUCGGCUGGCUGCAGUUCUGUUCAGAGAAGGCUUGGCCAGAGAUGUGUAAACCACACAACCUUUUUUGUCUUAUAUAUUAACAGCCAUAGACUUUUUACUUCUACGUUUUAGUGCACUUAAUUAUCUGUAAAGGCCUUGACUGUAGAGUUAAAAACCUCUCCUACUUAUGAAGAGUUUUUACUGUUUGUUUAAUACAGGUCAAGAAUUCCGUGCUUCUGACCUUUUGAUACCUCAUAUAUCUGAACUUACGAAUUUCGUACUGUGGAAAACAUUGGCUAUCAAGGGUAAAGGGGAGAAAUUAGAGCGUCACUUUACAAGGGGUACAAGAGAAAAGUAAACCGCUGUGUUUGGGAAGGGACACAAGACAAGUCAGGCUGAGAAGUGACAUGACUGUGAGGAAAUCUUGAGCCAUUUCCAUUCCACCAUGACUCUUUGGGACCCAACUAUCGAGACCCACCAGCACAGAGCUCCCUCUACCAAGUUCAUUACACUGUCUGUGCUCCAGCAGUUCACACUGGGUUUGCACUACUAUGCCUAUCAGAAGAUCCUGAUUUCCCACUGGGGAAAGAAUCAAUCUUUCCCUAGAGUCAUACAUCUAAAUAUUUGACCACUGGCACUAUGCCUCCUCUAAAUCUUUCUACUCAGUACUUGUAUUAGCUUUAGCAGAAAACUGUGUCGAGGCCUAGACUCAGGUCAGAGGUAAACUGUGUCGUAUGAAGUAGUCCUGUGGAAGCUUCAGGUUCUGAAGGUUAAUUUCACUGGAACUAAACAGCAAGCACAUUUCUCCAACAGCUGCCUGCCAUGGGGCCUUCUGUGUGUGCUUCUUAAUUUUAUUUUAUAUUAUAAAAAGUAUAGGUUGGUGUUUCUUAUAAAUUUGUAUUCAUGUGUACAUAAAGAGUUGUACAAUGACUGUAAAUAUGAUUUUUUGAAAAGUUUUAGAGUUCAUUUAGAAUUGUUUCACCCAAAAUCAAAAUGCUACUUUAGUAAAAUGUUAAUUUCUUGCUUUACCCCACUUACUAAAUAGGGAGGAGGGAAGAUCAAUAUGAGAAAUGUCUAUAGAUAUCUUAAACUUAUACAUUCAUGCAGCAGUUUAUAUUUUAGAAAUCUUUUAGCAAGGGAGUUUAACUGCCAUGUAGAAUAUAGCUUAAAGCUUUAAAAACAUCAAAUGUAAAAUCAUACAAUCAUGUGUUGAUUUAACUCUCAGACUUUCUUCCCAGUGGCGCUCUCCAAAAUCACAAGUUAUGUGUUUUAUGGCCAUAGCUACUUUUUCUUUUUCUUUUCCUUUUUCUUUUUCAAGCACUGGGUUUAGACUCUAAGACAUUGCUGGGAAGCGCUCCAUUGCCCUGUCUGCUGUCUUCUCAUUUUUAAAAGCCUUACUCUGUUGUUUCCCCUAAGGGGAGAAAGGAUUUAUUUUAUCCAAAGGCCUUUUCUCUUAAAGUGAGUUUGUGAGGGGAGAGAAGUCUGUGUGCUUUAGGAUGAAGAACAGUAUUUUCAUUUGUUUUCAAAAGCUCUAAUUUCAGCUAAGCCGUUUUAAAUGUGAAUCCCUCCUUGAAACUGCAAUGUGCUAUUUGUAUAUUUGACUAUCAGCAUGUUUUAUAUAAACAGAUUAUGAAAGACAUCUUACAGGUCUAGAGUUUCAGUAAUAAAUCAAUAUUCAGGGCAGGUAUUGAGAAACUUUAAAAAAAAAAAAGAAAUAACUAAGGCUUCUUGGCAAACUUUUUUUAACAUGUGGAAAAUAAAUGUGUGAUUCCCCCCUUUUACUUCGCUGAGUAAAGAAAAAGAGAGCACUGCUAUUGUCAGCAUCUCUUAAAGGCAUUCCCUGUCACAAAAGUCUGAGUCCAGUGUUAGUCGAGUCCUGUUCUGAAUGGGUUGCCUGCAAUGCUAUAGCAUUCCAGUGAGUCAUUAGCCAAGCCAAAAGCUGGGUCGAAGCCUGAGGAGCAAAGCACUCGCUGGAAAGGCAGUCAGGAGAGCGUGGCUGCCCCUACUUGAACAUCUUAGCACUGUGAAGAUGGAGUUUCAGGCAGCUGGACAGCUAUUUAAUAGCAAAUUAAAGUUGUGCCUUUUCAUUUUGUUUUUUUGGAUGAUGCAAGGUAAGUUUAUUCUCAUUGUGAGAACAUUACCAUAACAUGACUUAAAGGAAUAUUGAUGAAAAACAAAACAAUUAAAACCCAGAAGUAAAACCAAAAUUAGCUGGAGUUAAUCUAGAACCCACCCCGGAAUUGUUUUCUGUUCAAGAUUAAUGUAAAUAUGUUUAUAUUGGUUUUGUAAUUUCACUUUAGUCACUGUAUCCCAGAAAGAGUUUAAAAUGUAAAUAAAUAAUUUUGCAAACAUG